rnacentral:rRNA from 1 species
UACGGAGGGGGCAAGCGUUAUUCGGAAUCAUUGGGCGUAAAGGGCGCGUAGGCGGCUUCAUAAGUCUUGGGUGAAAGCCCUCGGCUCAACCGAGGAAUUGCCUUGGAUACUGUGAAGCUCGAGGCUGGAAGAGGGCAGUGGAAUUCCCGGUGUAGCGGUGAAAUGCGUAGAUAUCGUAAGGAAGACCAGUGGCGAAGGCGGGUCUCUGGACAGUUCCUGACGCUGAGGCACGAAGGUCAGGGGAGCAAACGGG